CCCUCUCCUAUUUUGGUUUACCGAACUGCUCUCCAUCGUGCCUAUUUCCGCGGGGAACAGCUAACAGCUAUAGUGGCAUUUUAAUACUAGCAUUAAUGAGAGGUACGACGGCCAGUUAUUGCAGCCAUUGCACAACCCUAGUGAUAUCAUAAGCAUUAUGAGCAGAAACCUGUUAGAUAGCCUCGUGCGGUACCGAUCGCGGUACCGAUAAUUUAAAACGUAUGAAGAAACUACCGCAGUUUUCAUGGACGCAGGCAGCACCGUCGCUUCCACCGUUCCUUCCGACCAGUUUCUUCCGCUUAACUUCCUUCAAAUGGAAUUGACGUGCUGACACCUGGGUUGCUGCAAUGUGCCACGAGGGAUCCAGUGAGAACGCAAGAGAGGCUACCUUUUGCUGAUAUCAUGCCGCGAACGCCGGGCUGUGCAAUUCGCACGCGAAGUGGUUUCACUUCCAGGCUUAACAGAAAGCAUGGCUACGGUGUCAAACAGCACAUACUACCACUUUUGGAUGCCGGCAGUCGACGUUACAGCACCGCUCUCCCUCGUUGCUUCGAAUCGUUGCCGCAGCGCGUCGUCGUUGUAGUACGUAAUGAGGCUAUCUGCCCCUCGCUCGCUCGCGCGCAUCCUUUCAUGAAGAUGGCGACAUUACACUGAUGACAGUUCUCGCUUUGAGGACAAUCAGAGCGAGCAUUUCGUUUCCUUACAUCUCUGCGCCAUAUCGGAACCAUUGCGGUGUUUAAGAGUCUCAAUGUUCCAGCACGCUAGUGCCUGGCGCAGAAUUGGUGGCGAUAACUUUCGUUUCCUUCUGCUGCCAAGGACCACGGCUAGUUCAACAAACAAAACUAUCGCAAACGACCCCCGUGCCACUAAGUUCUGCAAGCAUUCAUCCGCUCUACCUCAGCAGGCAGUGACCGAAGCGCUAUGAAUCGAACAGGUCUCAGUGGGCUUAAGUGAAGGUGCCUAUCAUAAGAAAACGAAAGCCUAUCGUAAGGAAAUGCAAGCUUCUCUUUCGGAUAUUCGCCACUGCCCGCGACUUCACAUAUACCUUCUGCACAUUCAGGUCAUGCGACACCAUCCAGCCCAUCGUCGCGCACGGCUGCGGAUUAAAUUUUCCAAUAGGUGAAAACUACAGAGGCUGCGAAAGGAGAUGGCAGGGAUGCGUAUAGAAAAUA